AAGGCACCGGUGCUCCUGACCUAUCCGAUGGGCGGCUCUUCCUGCAGUCCAGAGGGACUGAUCUCUAACGAGGAGAUUGUGUCGACAUCUGCUUCCCGGCGCUUUCUCUUCUGUACUCAGAUGUCCUCAAAAGAGCAGAGCCUUCCUCGCCCUGGUUCCCACAGGGCUCCUCCGCCACUCCACACCUCUGGGAAGGUCACACGCCGCUGCUGUAUCUUGCCCGGCGCAGUGGGAAUCCGAUUAACAACCGGCCCCCGGCCCUGGGAUUGGGCAACGAUGGAAGCUGCCCCGGAGAUGCCAUGUGUGCAGGGAGAGGGGCUGGUUCCCAUUUCAUCUCAGGAUGAAGGCUGCCACUAUAAAUGAAAAACUUGCCAAAAGUACUCAGUGGGCACGUGGUACAACCUGGCGUCAUAGGCGUACAAGCCAUGAUCGUGCUUCCCACAAGGGACAGACCGGGAGGGCAGGAGCUACCGAAACCAGAUUCCUUGCUACGAUGCGCAGGCUGGAUGGAAAAACACAAACACAUAGGGAAUUUCCAGAGAAGAAAGGGGAGAGACCCACCCUAUUUAGUCUUCCAAGGACUUCACUUGGAAAACCCACAGAGAUACGGCUCAUGCGAUCUCAUUUGCUUCUGUCUUGUGGACUGCGGCUUGGCAGGAGGCCAUGGAGUGGGUGCAGAAGGCGCCUGCACAUCUCACCCGUGCAAGGUUAGCUCCUGAGGCAGCCUUCAGCCAGACCCUGGGGCAACCUGUGCAAAGAGCUGGGCUUAGAAGGGUUUUUACCUUCCUGCUGGAGACCUACUGGGAUAUUUCCAUCACAUGCAGUCUGUAGUUGAAGGCUGAAGCUGCUCUGCUCUAAGCCCCUACCCCCUCCCAGUCCCUCGCUGGUGGGGAGCACCAGGGCGAAUCUGUUGGGAAUGCUGCCUGCAUGGCAGGAGGUUUGCAGACCCCUCGCUGUACCCUGGAUUUGUCCAGCUCCUCAUUUCCAGGGGUGCAGCAGCCCCCAGGAACUGCACAGGGACUGGGGAGAGACCUGCGGCGGGGAGCUGGCACAAGCACAGGAAAUCCAGCUGUCAAGAAGACUCCAGCGUGCUUACCCAUCCCUGCCUCCCGGCACCUUUUUCUGGUGUGCAUUUGUGUUUCAGACAGCGCUGAUCCUGCUGGCCAGCCCUUACCUGCCAGCAUCUGUCAGACACCACAGUAAAGAGUAGCCCCAAGGCGCGAACAGCCUGCCAUAGGGGCCACACCUAUAUCCACCUCCGUGAUGCAACGUCUUGCUGCGCAGCUGCUCGCCUCGCUGCCAACAGCCCCCGCGGCUCCGCCAGAGAUCGGGUCUCCAAAAUAAGAGCUUUGGCACCUUCCCAGUUGUUUGCUCAACACCAGCUUUGAAAGUUAAUUUCAACAAAAGCCUUCUCUUGCUUCAGGGAGAGAAGUCCAGGGGUAAAGGCUCAGCUUGGUCAGAUGAGAGAAGGAGGGAUGAGCGAUACAAAAGAUCCACCCCUGUGCCCUUGCAGCCGCUGUCACCAUGUGUGCCAGGAAGAAGUGGAAAAGUCAUCCCACCUGCUGUCAGGAGGGUGACACUGAGCCAGACGGACACCUCUUGCAUGGGGACCCUGGUAUAGGGUGCUGUCACAGGGUGUCACUACAGGGCUUGGAGGCAACACAAUCAACUGUGCUGUCACUUUAUGUUGUAUGUGACAACGGAUGGCAGUUAAUAAAUAAAAGGAGGAUAACAAG